AAUGAUGAAAUUAGCCUUUUUUCGUUUCUUUUUUUACUUUAGCACCUAAAAUCAGGGGGCUUUGCGCGUAAGAAAAGAAACGAAAAACAGCGCUUGAGCCUCCGGUAUGGAGGCUUUUUUAUU
rfam:Xenorhabdus cabanillasii JM26, WGS project CBXE01000000 data, contig: XENCA_2134_Contig_105